rnacentral:lncRNA from 1 species
AGCAUGUCUGGUGUUCCGUGACCUACGCUGAACUCCUUUAAAUAAAGAAUCAUGCCUCCUACCCUGAGAGGUGAGAGCGCCAAGAUGAAAUUCUAAGAACUUGGGUUUUAAUGAAAACUCUGUGAAGAGACCCAGUCCCUUCUAGCUCAAAGUCUAUUAACUACUGGCUACAUGAAGAAUACCAUGCCAGGCCCUGAGGAUGUGAAAACAAAAAUGGAACAUCCAUUCAAAAAUGGCACAGUGAAGCAGUAAAGAAGACUAUUACUCCUACUCACCCCACUCUUGCCCAAGCAGAUGUGAAAUCACUUCAUCCUUCAAGGUACCCUCCAUUCCAUCAGAAGCAUUUAUUAGGCAGACAGCCUGUACCCAGAACUCCUUCUGUCUAUACGAAGACCACCCUCUUCUAUAAACCAGAGCUUUUAACAUGUGGAAACAAUGGCUGAGUUAACAGGAAAAGAGUUCUUGUGUGAAAUGAAGAUUCCUUUCAUCUAUCAAGGUUGGCAGCCAC